UUCAGUAAACUUCUGUAUCUACCUAAUGAAGCAUCCGACGGUAUUGAGGCGACUGUAUCGCUCUGGUUCAGAAAAUAUGGUAUCUCAGUGUAUCGUUCCGAACAUUCUUCUUACGGAGGAAAUGGGACUUAGAGUGGAUACAGAACAGAGGUUGGAUACAGAGGAUAUCAGAGGGAUGGAUACACCUCUUUAAGAUCUAGGAUACAGAACAGAGGUUGGAUACAGAGGAUAUCAGGGGGAUGUAUACACCUCUUUAAGCUCCAAGAUACAGAGCAGAUGUUGGAUACAGAGGAAAUCAGGGGAAUGAAUACACCUCUUUAAGCUCUAGGAUACAGAACAGAGGUUGGAUACAGAGGAUACCAGGGGAAUGAAUGCACCUCUUUAAGCUCCUGGAUACAGAUAAUAGGUUGGAUACAGAGGAGCUCAAAGGGAUGGAUACACCUCUUUUUUAGCACUUGGAUACAGAGCAAUGGUUUAAUUCCGAAGAGCUUUGAGGGAUGAAUGUGCUUAGCUCGUCAAAAGAUCUCAAUAGAACAAAACCUUUUUAGGGUCUUGGAUAAAAAGUAGUGUUUAAAAAAAUAGCCCACAUGAUGAAAAAGAACACAGUUCUAAAACAUUUGAAGCUGAUAAUGAAAAUACUAAGAUAUGCCAAACAAACGCUUUUGACAUAAAUACAAUGGGAUUUCAAACAGCUGGAUACAGAGAACACAAGGAGAAAAGAUGCAGCUGGUUUAAGAGCUGGAUACAGAGAACACAAUUCAAGGAGAAUAGAUACAGCUGGUUUAAGAGCUGGAUACAGAGAACACAAGGAGAAUAGAUACAGUUGGUUUAAGAGCUGGAUACAGAGAACACAAUUCAAGGAGAAUAGAUACAGCUGGUUUAAGAGCUGGAUACAGAGAACACAAUUCAAAGAGAAUAGAUACAGCUGGUUUAAGAGCUGGAUACAGAGAACACAAGGAGAAUAGAUACAGCUGGUGUAAGAGCUGGAUACAGAG
rnacentral:lncRNA from 1 species